GACGAACGCUGGCGGCGUGCCUAAUACAUGCAAGUCGAGCGGACUGAAUGGGAGCUUGCUCUUGUUCGGUCAGCGGCGGACGGGUGAGUAACACGUGGGCAACCUGCCCGCAAGACCGGGAUAACUCCGGGAAACCGGAGCUAAUACCGGAUAACACCGAAGACCGCAUGGUCUUUGGUUGAAAGGCGGCGCAAGCUGCCACUUGCGGAUGGGCCCGCGGCGCAUUAGCUAGUUGGUGAGGUAACGGCUCACCAAGGCGACGAUGCGUAGCCGGCCUGCGGGGGUGGGCCGCCACCCUGGGAGUGAGACCCGGCCCAGACUCCCUCGGGAGGGAGCCGGAGGGAAACCUUCGGCAUAGGUGGAAACCCUAACGAGCGGAGCCGAGGGAGGGAAGAAGGCCGUCGGGUCGUAAAGCUCUGUUGUGAGGGACGAAGGAGCGCCGUUUGAAGAAGGCGGCGCGGUGACGGUACCUCACGAGGAAGCCCCGGCUAACUACGUG
rnacentral:rRNA from 1 species